rnacentral:rRNA from 1 species
CUUUAGCGCGGUGGUCCCAGCUGACCGCAUGCCGAACUCAGAAGUGAAACGCCGUAGCGCCGAUGGUAGUGUGGGGUCUCCCCAUGUGAGAGUAGGGAACUGCCAGGC